AAUGACCUAAGAGUUCUAGUUUCCAGCUGCAGAUGUGCACAAACACUCCAAAGGCCUGGGGCGUGUCCUGAUGGUCUCUCCAGCAGACAGAAGCUCCAAGUCCCACCAUGUGACUGGCUGAUUGACAGCGCACAUUUAAGUCCCAGCCUCCACAGGCUUCCGAGGUUGACAGGAGACACUGACUGGAGAGGAGUGGGAUGCUGCAGCUUAGGAUGGAGAUGGAAAGACCCCAGUGGGGCUAAGGACCCUGAACUCCCCGAUUCCGAUGGUUUAUAGUGUCUCCAUCACUGUCUUAGGGAACUAAUCCUGCACUGUCUAUGAAAACAGCAGUGGCCUUUCCUGAAGGACAAGUGAGACAUCCUACUGUCCCUUAGGACUCACUUUCACCGCCCAUUUUUGCCUCCAGUCCCGGCAAGCCCAUGGAGGUGAGGUAUCCCACUGGCCCAUUAUCUUGAUGGCGUCAUGCUGAAUGGAUCAAGUGAGAAAUAUUGGUCACUCUAUGCGACCCCCGGAGGGGAUCCCCGACCCUCGGGGAUGAGGUGAUGAGGGUCGCUACUAAUUUGGGUUCACACGUCCAGGACUCAAGAGGAGGAAAUUGACCCCUAUAAACCCACUAGCAAAAGUCGUGUUUCGUGUUCGUUCCCAUGGCCUCUGCUCUGCUGACCUAGAAGUCUUGGAGUAUUGGUUCCAGCACUCACAUGGUGGAUCCGGUCCUAGUGGUUCUGAUGCCCUCUUCUGACCUCCAAGGUCACUACACACA